CAGCUGCCUUAAAAUAACACUCUGUGAGUGAUAUGGUGCUCGGUACAGGAACACCACCUUCAAAAAGUCUGAUUUUCAUUUGAUCCAAGGGGUCCAAUUUUAUUAAAAUCGGUCAAGUAUUCGCACAGGAAUCGCAAAUUAAAAUCAGCAAACUACUUUGAAUUAUCACCGGAGUUUAUCGGCAUUAUCAUACCAUGUGAUCUUCUACGAUUGUCAGCAAAGUUGAAGAUUGUUCGAAGGAGUUCGCCGUUGACUAAAAGGUUUAUCUGAACAGCCAGUUGUCAAAAGAUGAAGUAGAAAUAUUUUCUUAAAGCUGUGACAGUUUAAUAUCAGUUCAACUGAUUCAGUUGGGAAACUUGUGGAGGUGAAUUUCAAAAUCGCGAUGCCACAGAGAUGAUGCCAUGUGGACCUUGUGGCUUUCACCUUUGUGGGAAAGCUGGUCGUGCUGUGUGUUCAAAAAUGAAGAUGAAGCCGAUUUCGAGGGAAUCUUUCAACGCGCUAGCCAGUAAAGAUUUGUGUUGGAUAUGUUCCUGUUUCUUCAGGAGCCAAGAUAAGAUUGUUUCCUUUUUACAUGAGAAUUAUAUUGGUUUUAUAAUGUAGAAAGCUAUAUUAAUUAAUUCCCAAGGACAUUGUACUAGCUGUUUAGUAACUGGAAACUUUCAGGCUUUAAAUUCAUGAAUUGAAGCCACAUAUUGAAUAUUAAUACUCAAAUAAGUACUACUCAUCUUAUUACAUCUGCUUAAUGUUGCUCCAGUAUGUGUGAUCAAUCCAGAUGCAUUUACCUUAUAUUUUGGAUGUAAGGAAAAUUGCUAGCACUUUACUCUUCAUGAAAUCUGAUGGGGAAAAAACCAACCAACAAUUACUACAUCAAGAUAGUUGAGUAACCUUUCCAUUUUACAGUCUACAUAAAGUUUACUAUAAUAUGGUGACUUAUGCUUAUUAUUUGUAACAUUCUCAGGUUACCUAGUGGCCACGUUGCAUUUUGAGAUAUAUACUUUGAUGAUUGGAAUUUACCCUCUUCGAUAG